rnacentral:tRNA from 1 species
UUAGUUAGGUAGAAUGUGGGUCUCCAAAAUCCAAUGUCGUAGGUUCAAAUCCUACA